UCGGGACAACACCGUUGGACCAUCCGUAGGGUUUACCACAGGGAUGAUAGCGUCACGGGUUGGUAGCGAAGCGUCACGGGAUCAAGGUUGGUAGCGAAGCGUCACGGGAUCAGACAGAUAGCAAGUGAGACGGCAAUCAAAAACGUCAAUUUAGAUAAAAUUGCUUAAUCACGAAGGAAGGUAAUAGUUAGAGGUUAAAAGGUGAAAGUCAAAUAAAGUUUAAAAAAAAAGUUUUUCUACAAGUUCUUGGAUUUCGGAUCGGUGGUAGUUGCGAAAAUUAAGUGGGACUUAAUCAGCACGACAGGACAAACCGAGUUAAAAACCUUGCGGGGGAGAAUUUGAAGGAUUGACGAGUAAAAGUAAGUCGAUAGCUAAAACGUUAACCUAAAGUAAAAUAAAACAUUGAAAUCUUAAAAUUUAAAAUAUAGAAAAUCUGGAGUUGAUUUGAGACAGAGAGUCGGCUAGGGAAAGAUAAGGCGAAGAAAUCCGCAGGAGGAAGGAAGAAACUAAAUCUUUGAUCUACUUAGAACUAAAAGUGGAUUCACGGCUGGUUUCUUGUUCCGAACACUUCUACUAUCAAAUUUUUUCUUCCUAAGUUUCUUGGUACCUAUUUUUUUUCUUCCUAAGUUUCUUGGACUUCAACCGAAAUAGUAAUAAACGAUUAAUCAAUGCAUUUUUAAAAUUAUAAUAGUGAAAUACAUUACUCGGUAAUAUCAUGUACCUUGCAUA